GAAGGGGGCGAGCGUUGUUCGGAAUUACUGGGCGUAAAGGGCUCGUAGGUGGCCAACUAAGUCAGACGUGAAAUCCCUCGGCUUAACCGGGGAACUGCGUCUGAUACUGGAUGGCUUGAGUUCGGGAGAGGGAUGCGGAAUUCCAGGUGUAGCGGUGAAAUGCGUAGAUAUCUGGAGGAACACCGGUGGCGAAGGCGGCAUCCUGGACCGACACUGACGCUGAGGAGCGAAAGCCAGGGGAGCAAACGGG
rnacentral:rRNA from 1 species